UUCUGUUUUCUGCUCCUCCCCUGCAACUACCACUAAACCUCUGUUUGCUCAGUUGUAAAACAAAGCAUUUGAAUAUAUGAGACAAAAAUUAAAGAGAUACAACAAAAAGCCACAAGAGUCACAUCUGUUACUGAAUGUAAUGUGGAUCAAGCAAUUGUUUAGUUGCACGUCUGAAUGGCUAUAGGAGCCAGCCAGGCAAUGAAAGUGAAUGAAAUGGUCAAGGUGGAAGACAAUAAGGAAUAGAAGGAAUGGAGAUCAAAUGUCCAGUAGAAAGGUGGACGCUCCUUCUCAAGCCCUGGAUGUCAUUCUCAUAUUAGAAGGUCUCCCAAAGAUGAGAGAGAGUCUAGAGAACAAAGUGAUGCCCUGAUUCUAGCAGAUGACCCAUAUUAAUAGACAUUCUACAAGAAGAGCACAACAGAAAUUGCUAGUUUAAAUGAAUGAUACCCUGUAUUAAACACAAAGACUUCCAGUGACUUCUAUAUGAAUUCAAUAAACUUCAAUUACUAUACACUUGAAAACAUCUAAGUUGUUAAUCCAAUGGACCAAAUACUCUCAGAAUUUCUACCUUUCUCAAGUCUUCUACAACGAAAAUUCAGUUACAACAAGAGAUCCCAGAUGGACUCCCUGGCAGUGAAUGGCCAGAGCUGAUUCACAAACUCACCUCCAGAGCUUGGUGUGGCUUCAACCUCAGAGUCAUUACAGGAACUGAAAGUGAAAGAUAAGUGUCUCCUCAAUGAAAUGGAGAUUCUGUUGCAAGAAUAGGUGAAUUGUUGCUGGGAAAUCUCUCAACAGAUUUGUACUGCAUCAGGCACCACUUGUCUAUCACUACCCAUUGGCCUAACUACUCUUGUGGUGGCUAGUGCCUUGAAAGCAUAAACAAGUUUUGUGAAGGGGCAACCCAAGACAUCCUGAAGUCCAACCUUUAUUUCAUACACUUGAUUCUUGCUCUGAACCUUUUUGCUUCUAUGGUGAAGGUCACAUAGAGGAAGCAUCUCAGCCUUCACACAUGUGGAACCUGGAAAUGUGAAGGAGUUAACCCUCCUUAGGUCACUCUUGAUCACUGAGAUGGAAAAAAAAGCCUAUGUUGAUAUGAACUGAAAAUAAAUGUGAAAUAAGUUCCAUUAGCAAAUGCGAAGAAGAGGAAAUUUGGAAAAAAGUUACACAGUGUGCACAGAGCAAAGACCAUGUGAGGUCACAGCAAGAAAGUGGCUUCUGUAAGCCAAGAAGAGAAGAAACCAAACCCGCUGACACCUUGAUCUUGAACUUCUAGCCUUAAGGACUGUGAGAAAAUAAAUUUUUGUACUUUAAGCAAAUCCAUCUGUGGUACUUACGAUGGCAGCUCUAGCAAACUAAUAUAGGCAGUGAUUUCAAAAUUUCUGAUAUUACAAUAGUAGAAGCAUGGAGAAGUUAUUUUAGAGGUAAAAAUCUACCAGACAUGACAACAGAUUGGAUGCUUGGCAUAAGUGAGAAAAAGAAGCAACCCUCUGUUAAAUACCCUUUAAAAUUAAAUUAUAAAGUGAACUCACACAUAUUGUUUCGUUGAUAAAUUCUUAGGGUAAGUAUGCAAAAUCCGUGAUAAUACACCAUGUGGCAGUGCCAGUCUAUUAUAUCCCUUAGCAUAUAUGGAAGUUUGUUGUUUCUUCAUCUUGCUUAAAGGCAGGAGAGAUCCAUAAAACAGCACUUCACAUUUAUGAUACUAAAUUCACCUCCCUUGAAUAGUAGGCUAUGCCAAUGCCUGGAAACAAAAGCAAGCUGAGUAGUUUUACAAAGGCUCAGGGUUGUUCCUACAGCUGCAGCUUGAUAGUGGCAUUGGGAAAUUAAAACUUUUUAGCUCUCCCUAAGCUGUUUUCUUACAGAUGGUACUGGGAGUUGAAUUUUGUAUGUGUGUUGUAUAUGAUGGUGGUUCUGGCCAAGAAGAAAAAGCUCAUAAGACCAUCCACUCUCUCAUUCAAUUUCCUAGAGCAAAAAUCAAAUUAAGAUAAGAAUAUUAAUAGGUAACUGCAGUCUUUUAAAAAUAUAGGUUUGAACUGAGGAUUUUAAGUGACUUCUUUGGGGUUUACUUACUUCAUAUAUACUCUAUAAAUCAUGUAGGCAUUUAUUACUACUGUAAAAUGGAAUUUGUAGAACUGACUGUAUUAACUCAUAAGUUUGAAGUAUACAUUUUCUGUAAUAUAUAGGCUGGUUUAUAAAGUGGUAUACAUAAAAAUGACA